AGUUUAACUUUUGUGCUUCUGGGCAGAGGUAUGGUCCUUGGGACAGUUCUCCUUCCACCUAAUAGUUAUGGCAGAGAUCAGGACACUUCACUUUGCUGCCUGUGCACUGAGGCCUCAGAAUCUGCUCUACCCGACUUAACAGAAGCUUUGCAUCGUCCCUAUGGUUGUGAUGUUGAACCCCAGGCACUAAAUGAGGCUAUCAGGUGGAGCUCCAAGGAGAACUUGCUCGGAGCCACUGAGAGUGACCCUAAUCUCUUCGUUGCACUUUAUGAUUUUGUAGCAAGUGGUGAUAACACACUCAGCAUCACUAAAGGUGAGGCUUCUAUGUAGCAUCCUUUCACUUUUCAGUUUUCAUUAAUGAUUAAGAGAUAAAGGGGCCUGGCCAGGCACAGUGGCUCACACCUAUAAUCUC
rnacentral:lncRNA from 1 species